rnacentral:misc_RNA from 1 species
GUGGUUUUUACGUAGCGCUGUGUAGUGUUUCUGUGGGUGUGUGGUCUUUGGUUUUGGUGUUGUCUUUGUCUUUUUGUUGUCCUUGUCUGUUUUUGUGCACUGCCUUGUGCGAUGCCUUGUGCAUUGCCUUGUGCAUUGCCUUGUGCGGUGCCUGGCAGUACAAACGAUCGACGGCAACACUUGGACCAGACCCAAGCCCUUGCAGACAAUAGACGUCUUUGCUUGCUUUGAUGAAACCAAAUCAAAAA